GAGUCUGAAAGUCAGAGGCCGAUUCACCGCGACGCGUCACGACGCGGCGAAAUGUUUUCCAACUACAGCUAUCGCGUAGGCCGCGUUCUCGCCUUGCGGCGACUCAUUGUCGCCAGUCAGUCAGUGUUGGCGCUCCGUAUCGUCGACAUCCAUCCAGUCAUUCGUCGAUCGAGCAAGUCCUGCGAUCCGUUCGUCUCUGCAUUUAACGACGUGCCGUCAUGUACCCCGGGAAUAACAACUACCAGUACAACCCGCAGUACGGCAAUCAGCCGCCUCCCCCGCAAGGCUACCCGAUGUACGGACCUCCGCCGCCUUAUGGUGCCCCGCCAAUUACGCAGCAGCCACCCCCAGGUACGACGGUCUACGUCGUUCCCGCCCAGGAACAGCAACGGUCAACGGGAAUGAGUGCGGAGUCGGCUCUUUGCUGCGGGUGCUGUUUAGGACUCUGUCUCGGGUGCGGACCUUGCGACCUCUGUUGCUGCUAGUUCCAAAUCACCGGGGGUAACAAGUGGUUGCCAACGAUGCGAUCCGGGCGAUGAUUAUACCGAUUUCCAAUGAACGACGAUGGAUUUAUCGACGCCCUGGGAAAACCGGAGCGGAUGUUGACUGAUUGCCUUACGCCGUGUAGGGGAAAAAGUCGUCAAGAACAGUUGGUGGAAUCUUGUCGGUGUGUGCGAAUGUGUGUCAGUGUGGGUGAGUGUGCGCAGAGAUAAUGGAUUCUUAAGAUAUGUGAAACCUGUUGUAUAGAUAAAAGAAAUAAAAUUUUCAACCUCGAGUCUGGCGCGAUGAGGCACAGUUCGGGCUAAUCGUGAAUAACAAGACGCUUAAGUGGUCGGGCACGUCGGUAAAGUAAUUAAAUAUCAUAAUUGUGUAAAUAUUAGGUAACGGUUGAAGGUGCUCAGUAAAAUAAUUAACAGAUAAACGUGCCAGUUAUACUUUAAUUUAUUUAUUAUCCUCUCUCUCUCUCUCUCUCUCUCUCUCUCUCUCUCUCUCUCUCUCUCUCUCUCUCUCUCUCUCUCUCUCUCUCUCUCUCUCUCUCUUUCUUUCUUUCUUUCUCUGGAUCCCACCAAUCCAUGCGAUUUCGAAAUAUAACAUAACAUCAUCCUGAUCGAACUGCGCUGAAUGCGUUUUCACCUAAUAUCGUGAAUCGCCAAAACGUAAAGGCCUUCGAUCGAUUAUAUUCAAGCUCUCCUCCGUCAUUAUCUCAGUUCGUGUGAUUGGGAAUAUUUUUUUCCAUGUUCAGUUGCAAAUCAGGAUACCAUACAACGGUACGAGCCUCUGGUUUAUUGUUGUUGUUGUAGAAACAACGUGCGAACUAAAAAUUAGUGCUUGAGUCGUAAAGAGGUUCGUUCUUUCGCUAUUGUUUGUAUACCUACCUAUACGAGACCGUUACAAAAGAUAGCAUUCGCUCACGAGUUAUAUCACCAACGACUUCGUUGCGUUAACGUACCGUAUACAAAAUUCCGAGAGCUUAAUGGCGGCUGAAUUUGCGCGACGAUAACGAAUCGCGAUAAUGAUCGAUAGCAUCGAUUCGAAAAACGGUAUCACGGGCCUUGCGAUCCGAUAUUUUAUACUCCUCUUACAGGUACGUCACUGACUGAGAUACGAAACACAUGUUGUCACACAGUUGCUGCAGGAAGCUCACGGAUUCCGCAGUAGACGAUAAAACGUUGGCUGGUGAACACUGGGUGGUAAUUUAUUUCCGAACCGAGGAGGACCGGAUACCAUCACCUCCUACACUUUGACGAUACGCCGAGUCACGUUAUGAUCAACAAGGAGAGAGAGGCAACGUCAGCGGCUGGCAGAUCUGUGCCAAAUAGUGCAAAUCGUACGGACGAUCCGCCGCCACCUUACAGCCUCUACAAACCGUCAAUGGCGGCCGAACCACCCCCGCCGCCCCUCGAACCUCCAGCUUUGACUUCGGAGCAACCUCCAGGUUGGCGUAACGGCAGAUCGAAUUUGUUCAGAAAAUCUAAUACUUGUACGGACUAACUUUCCGAAUCAUUAUUCCGAUCCUAUUCAGCUGUAAUAACCGAGGUUAUACCUGGUCCUGGUUCACAAACGGAAAACUCUUCGAACUACCACUUGACGUCGGGAGAGAGCAUCAAGGCUGCCUGCUGUAUAGUGUUAUGCUGGUUCUGGAUCCCGUUCGCCUUCUGCAUCGACUGUUGUGCCAGAACUUACCCACAGUUAAGGCCCAAACGGUAUCGGUAGAGAAAAGGCCGUCUUUCGCUCCUGAACUCACCUUCAAGAGGACGAAUUGCAACGUUUAAGAUGUCAAGCUCGUUUUUAAGAACCAAGUGAGCCAGGGCAAAGCCUAGGCGUGGAAUGCUGUUUUUAGUUUGGCCAAAAUACGCGUGCGCGUGAUUGGGACCAUGUGAAAGCGAUCGCUGCAAGUUUACAGUGAGAACUAUGAUAUUGCAUAAAUGCAGAUGAAUUCACUCUAUGCUAAAUUGCCCGUACAGCAAUUACCGAAUAAUCAAUCCGAAACGUAUGAAUAACGCUGCGCGCACCAGUCGACCGGUGUAAUUUUAAAAUUUGGGAGCAGCACAAAUUCACUCUUAACGUCGUAACUAUUUUCCGAACAAGUCAAUUUCUUACGCACCAUUAGACUUGAGUCAGUUCAUUCAUCACCAGCUAUUCGAACGUGCCAUACUCAACAAGUGACAAUUUUUCAGUUGAAUAAUUUUACUGUCGCUACGCACGAUCGAAGUUGAUGGGAUUUUUUGAACAUUCUGAAAUUAUUGUAAAACUACGACGUUUGAUGUGAAAUCGAAUAUCGGCUUUGAAAUUUUAUCGGCAUCCGGAAUAUGUUGUCGAAAAAAUGUUAUUCUUCAUUUUUGUGUAACGAUAACGAAUUACCGGUGAUGAGUAAAUUCAAAUAGUUUUUCGGAAAUCAAUUUUUUUCCUUUUUGCCAAGGAAAUACGGAACUUCGCAAUAAUUCGUUUGGUACAAGACAGCUGAAUCUGUUUUCUCUCCACUUACCAGCAUUAUCUCGUAUUUAUACCGAUCCCCUUGAGCACGUUUCAAUAGUAUUAUCUUAAUCUUAGUUUCCAAUUUUUAUGGUCUAUACCUCAGCUGUUAACUGCGGCUGAUUACACCUGACAUAUUUUACUGUGCUAUACACACACAUAAUAAGUAUAAUCAUAUACCUAGUCACAUGUUCUAAUUAACAAGACAUUUAUAAUACAUACUGUUUUCAAUCAAUACGACUGUCGCUGCUUCGAUUUACAGUGUGUGAGUGUCCCACUGAAAAAAACUGAGACAUAGUUCGGCUAGUAUUGUAUGAGGAAAAAACAGAAUCACCAUAAGUGAACCUUUACACGAUACUCGUGACGUACCAAGACGCAGUUACGUAUCCUUGUCACGUGUCGUGAAGCGUGGCUUCCCACAAAGGCGAAUCAUAUCCGGACCUCACUUCCGCACAACGAUCGACUUAACGAGAACCUACGGUUUCUUUUUCUUUAUACAUUUUCACGCUGUGCCAUGUGCGUAUCAAUAUGAAUACGGUUUCAAUACGUAAGGAUCUGCGGCUGCUUGUGCUAUAAAUAAUUCCAGCCAAACGUAAGCAGCUGCUGCUUGUAUCAUAUUAUAUACAAAUGACAUCACACGGUAGUUCGGAAACGUUACGAUUUCGUUCGUUACUUUGUAAUUUUUAAUCAAUAAUCAAAACUUCAAUCUUUUACAUACGUUAAAAAUCGGCAAAUAAACAAAAACGCCAAGUCUACCGCUUUAACUGUUUUA
rnacentral:misc_RNA from 1 species